rnacentral:sRNA from 1 species
UCUUUUUCAGACUCGGUUGGAAUUUGAAACUCGAUGCUGCUAUCGAGGAUCACCAA